rnacentral:lncRNA from 1 species
AUUCUUCCAAUCAUUUAUGAUGAUACCUGUAAGAUAUCCCAUGGCUUUGUCUUUCCAUUGGUGACCCUGCAGUGGCCUCUCCUUGCUUUAGGAUGGACACCUCUGAGUGUGUGAUCACUGGGAGACUGGGGAACCACCGUGUCCUCAGGUUCCCAUCCCAGUGUAUGGUGGAAACUCAGAAACUAUUUGUCAAAUGAGCGGAUGGAUGAAUGCAUAGUUGGUGUGAAUGUUAGUCCACAAAUCAGAUGUUCAAGAAUAUUAAACAUCUUUGUUUUACGUCAGUGUGUGUUUAUCCCACAUGUUGAACUGGUGGGAAGUUAAAUUUCAGCGAUAAUUGAGUCUCCUCCAAGGCACCCCAUCUUCUCCAGGUUAUACGAAGAUCUUGAAACCUUAAGCACUAAAGCAUCAUCUGAAAUACCCUGCUAAUCCCAAGCCCCACUGGCCACUCUUGAGACUUCUGUGUCUCUGUUGCCUAUUCCUGAGACAGGCUGGGACCUGGGACCUGAGAUCCUUUGCUGCAAUGCUUGUACCUGGACAAAUAUCUCCUGCAGCAAUAAAAUACAAAGGAACUCUAAGGGACUAAAAAUAACUGUGUUGCAUGCACCAUCAGGCCAAAUUGUGGACAAUAAAAUACAAAAAAAAGACUACAAAAAACUAACUACCUCUUUUGAAGAGCCAAGAGCAAAAUCAGGGGACUAUGCAUGCCCCCUGCCCACAAUACCUCCAAAGGGGUAGGCAGACCAUCUAGGCCACCCUUCUGGCCUGACCUCUCGACCUGCCCCUAUGCUCACCUCAUUUGGGAAACCAUAGUGCUGCUUCUUCAGGGAGCAAGUGAGCAAGCAAACCAAGGAACGUGCUGCUUGUUUUCACUCCCUCCUGCUGCAGCAAAGGUCCAAUGAAGCUGUGCCUGAAUUUCUUGUCUGGCCUCAUCAAUCUCUCUUGAUGAAGAAGGACAAGAACCCUGGUUGGUAUCAUUCCCUUUAGGCCCCCUUUGUGUCUGUGCCACAGUUGGAACAAGGGACUCUUGAGAGGACUUGAAGCCUUGGUGUCUGGGGCUCAGCACUCCUGGGUGUACCAGAUAGUCAUCUGUCCCUUCAGAUCUUGCGGGAGAGCUGCAUGGCUCCCCCAGCAGGUGGCCAUUAUCUCUUGCUACUCUUACUCCUCUGUGAGGAUACACCUCUUCACUGUAUUUC